rnacentral:sRNA from 1 species
CCACCGUCCUGCGACUGUUUAUAGUCAGUGUGUGGGAGCUGAACCUUGCAUCAUUUGCUUAAUGGGUUUCUUCCCCUUCCCCUGGAAACAGGAAAAAGAAUGUUAGCUUUCUCCAGGAGCCUUCAGCAACAAGGCUCAAAUCAUUUUCCCAGCCUAGCCCAGCAAACAAAGAUGCUUACAUUCUCCCCGGCACUGCAAACAGCUUUUCAGUGGCAGCUGGUCCUAGGAUUAGGCUCCCCUCCCCCUGCCCUGGUCCCAGUGCAGAUCCACAGAUCUCCAGGUUCAUUCCCUCCCUGUACACAGGCUCUUUGUAAACGGAAAGAAGAAUCUGCAAAACAAACAAACAAACAAACAAAAACCCAUGACCUUCAUCCGUGGGAACCAGGUUUUAGGGAGAAAGCCUGAACUUCCAGAUGGGGACAAUGAUGAUGAUGUCAUAGCAGACAUAAGUAACAGGAAGAUGGCGAAACUCUACAUGGGGCAGCUGGGGCCAUUUCUGAGUGGAUGAAGAGUGGUAACUGUAUUCCUACAAUUACCAUGGUCCCCCAUCACAUUAACCUGAUUGUGGAAACAUGUCUGGUCUACUCUGCUUAAUCAUAUCAACAUACCAAAGAAGGAUCGUCCGUACAUGAGCUUCUGGAUGUACACAGGAGGAAAUUGCACAAGCACAGCAUGGGGCCAUGGGAUAGCCACAUCGUCAGAAAGACCUGGCUGAGCAGUGACACCAUGAAUAAGACUCUCACACUGAAGAGCUGUAAGCGGACCUUUAGCUGUGCCCAAGGCUCUCAGACGGUGAGAAGUGAGGCUUUAAAUCUACUGUUUUGCUUGGAGUCAAAGCCGUGUUUACUACCUUGGAGCAGCACAUUUCGGCCUGCUGAUAUAAGAAGCAUUCAGGUUUGGUUUUAUACAUGGUAAGUCACAUGCACAUCUUUUAAAGUCUUUGGAGACAGGUCACAUCCAUACACAGGUAGUCUGAAUUAGCAUAAUCCACCAGGUUUUACAGUUCUCAAUCAGGAUAUAUGGCUAAACAGGAGCCUAUAACGUUCUAAAACAUGUCAGUAAUUAUCUAGCCCUUGUCAAGGGGAGGGACUUUUCCCUUAAAAGCCAGCAUGUCAUUGUUUUAGAAACAGUUUAGUUCUUACAAUCAGAACUCUACUGUGGAGACUCACUUUGGACCAGCGUCUUCUCUUGCCCCACAUCUCAGAGACCUAACCAUGUUGCCUUUUCAACUUAUGCAUAUAAAUUGAAAGGUUACUGGUAAUUUCAUUCUAUAAGAUAAUUUUAUGUAAUAAAUAAGCAAUCUUGGUGAUCUUAACUUGAACUUGGACCCUAGAGAAAUAACUCAAAGACAGAAACAAGAUUCUCAUCAUGACUGUAAUAGGCUAGUAUCAAAUAUCAAAAACCGACAAUGUAGUCAUCCCUUGGUUUCUGCAGUGGACUGGUUCCAAGGUUCCCCUGAGGACAUCUAAAUCCAAGGAUAUUCAAAUUCCUUACAUAAAAUGAUGUAGUGUUUGCCUAGAUUGUACCUUCCACAUGUUUUAAGUAACUCCUGGGUGGUUUCUAAUGCAUAAUGCUCUGUAUGUAGUUGUCACGCUGUAUCCCCUAGGGAAUAGCGGCAAGAAAAAGUCUGCACUUGUUAAGAACAGAUUUGGAGGGGGGUUAUUUUGGAUGCUUGGUUGGUUGAAUCAGCAGAUGUGAAACUUCUGAAAUACAGAGGCAAGGACACCUUUGAUAGAGAGAAGUGAAAGUAUGUGUGAAAAUAUGUGUGAAAAUAUUUAGACUCGGUUAGUUAAAAUUUAAGAACAUGCAUAAUGGUCACAGAAUAAACAGAUGAAUCCUGAAUAUUGUAAGAGGAACUUGAUGAUGGUUUCUUUACUCAACAAUGAAAUCAACUAAGGCCACCUCUUCUAAUACAGUGGCUUUUAAAGCAAAGUAAUUAAUUACCCCUUAGUUUCCAAAGACUAGGAAAUUAAGAGUGUUCUUCCUGGGUGGCCCCAGUUUGGGAAUCUUCCAUAAAGUUUCCAGUUGUUUUUGAGAAAGCACACCAUCGCCUAGAGACAGGGCAGAAGGAUGUAGGUGGUCCAUUCACAAAAGACAGCAAAUUGAUAUCAGCCCUGGCUAAGGGGUACCAGUUUCUCUCCAUAUGCUAUCUCUGCACUGCUGUGUGAAUGUUACAAGGUUUGGUGGCCAGUUCUUUCCUGAGUUAGCAAAAUUUGGGAGUCUAAGGAAGUGAGUAUUAACUGGGGCUUUGCAACAAUAUCAUAAGAAAUAUUUGGCAAUAUCUGAUAUCUUUGAUUUCAACAGAGUACAGAGUACAAUUGGCAUUGACAGGCAGAGGCUCUGAAUGCCAAUAAAUGUUGUUCAAACCAAACCACAGGAUUCCACCACAAUUGUUAAUUACCAUCCAUAGACAACCACAUUCAAAGCCAGAUGGACGUACUCAUAAUUGCUUCGGAGGUUGCGGCAGUAUAAUUGCAAGUUUCAGGCCAUCCUAGGCUACAGAGUGAGUUCAAGGCUAGCCUGGCCAACUUAGUGAGAUCUUAUCCCAAAGUCACAAGUGAAGAGAGAGCUGGUUAUAUAGCAUGCUUGCCUAGCAUGUGAGAGGUUCUGCCUUUCAUCCUCAACACUGCGAUCUAUUAACCAUCUGGUUCAAAAUUUCUGGUAACAUCCCCGAUUCUCUGUGAUAGGAUUAUGAGUGGCCCUCCUUUCUACCUGUCAGAAGCCAUCUAGGAAAGGCUAAAGGCAUGCAAAUGAGCUUUCUGGAGAUGGCCCACCAUUUAGCAUUGUCUGUGAAGAGUGAGCUCUAAGAAUGCAAGGUCCUUAGAAACUUCAUCCCAGGAUUGCUUCUUGCUCCUGAUAGGCCUUCCCUAUCACUAUUACACGGUCUAAUGAUUCCUGGGCAUCAGCAAAUUCCCUGCAGAUCAACAUGAAG